UUCUAUGAUGGCGCUACGGAACUGAUGGAAAGGGGCAAAGCCAUUGACGUCACCUACCUGAACUUGUGCAAAGUGUUUGACACUGACCCACACAACAUCCUUGUCUCUAAACUGCAGAGGCGUAAAUUUGAUGGAUGGACCACUCAGUGGAUAACUAAUUGGUUGGAUGGCCGGAUGCAGAGUUGUGGUCAAGGGCUCAAUGUCCAACUGGAGACUGGUAACGAGCAAGUCCAGAGGAGGUCCACAAGGAUGGGUCCACCUCCCUGGAUUAUUUAUUUUUGCUGUGUGCUAACUAGCUGUAAAGGCAGAUGUCUGGGCUCACUCCUAUUGCUUCUUUGCUCCACACACUGACAUACAGGGGGAGAAAGUGUUUGAUCAGGAUCACAGAAUCAUGGUAUUGUUAGGGUUGGAAAGGACCUUAACAUCAUCUUGUUCCAACCCACCUGCAGGGAGUGUUGUGAGGUAGGGGUGCCUCACACUAGACCAUGUCAUCCAAGGCCUCAUCCAAUCUAGCCUUGGACACUUCCAGGGAUGGGGCAGCCACAACCUCCUUGGGUAACCUGUGCCAGUGACGUUGGUGAUGUGCUGAAGCAAAGACACUUCCGGUUUCUGCCCAAUGGACAAAGAUGCCUUUGCUCCCCAGGACUUUCAAAUCGUAAGACACAGUACAACUGAUUUAU